GUGCCAGCAGCCGCGGUAAUUCCAGCUCCAAUAGCGUAUAUUAAAGUUGUUGUGGUUAAAAAGCUCGUAGUUGAACCUUGGGCCUGGCUGGCCGGUCCGCCUCACCGCGUGCACUGGUCCGGCCGGGCCUUUCCCUCUGUGGAACCCCAUACCCUUCACUGGGCGUGGCGGGGAAACAGGACAUUUACUUUGAAAAAAUUAGAGUGCUCCAGGCAGGCCUAUGCUCGAAUACAUUAGCAUGGAAUAAUAAAAUAGGACGCGCGGUUCUAUUUUGUUGGUUUAUAGGACCGCCGUAAUGAUUAAUAGGGACAGUCGGGGGCAUCAGUAUUCAACUGUCAGAGGUGAAAUUCUUGGAUCAGUUGAAGACUAACUACUGCGAAAGCAUUUGCCAAGGAUGUUUUCAUUAAUCAGGAACGAAAGUUAGGGGAUCGAAGACGAUCAGAUACCGUCGUAGUCUUAACCAUAAACUAUGCCGACUAGGGAUCGGACGGUGUUAUUCAUGACCCGUUCGGCACCUUACGAGAAAUCAAAGUGCUUGGGCUCCAGGGGGAGUAUGGUCGCAAGGCUGAAACUUAAAGAAAUUGACGGAAGGGCACCACCAGGGGUGGAGCCUGCGGCUUAAUUUGACUCAACACGGGGAAACUCACCAGGUCCAGACACAAUAAGGAUUGACAGAUUGAGAGCUCUUUCUUGAUUUUGUGGGUGUGAUGCAUGGACCGUUCUUAGUGGUGGGGUGACUUGUCUGCUUAAUUGCGAUAACGAACGAGACCUUAAACCUGCUAAAUAGGCCCGCAUUGCUU
rnacentral:rRNA from 1 species